CUCAGAAACUUAAAGGAAUUGACGGGGCCCGCACAAGCGGUGGAGUAUGUGGUUUAAUUCGAUGCAACGCGAAGAACCUUACCUGGUCUUGACAUCCCGGAGACCCUUAGGAAACUAGGGGGUGCUUCCAUCUGGAAGAAUCUGGAGACAGGUGCUGCAUGGCUGUCGUCAGCUCGUGUCGUGAGAUGUUGGGUUAAGUCCCGCAACGAGCGCAACCCUUGCCUCUAGUUGCCAGCAGUUCGGCUGGGCACUCUAAAGGGACUGCCGGUGUUAAACCGGAGGAAGGUGGGGAUGACGUCAAGUCCUCAUGGCCUUUAUGACCAGGGCUACACACGUACUACAAUGGCCGAUACAAAGGGCAGCGACACUGCGAGGUGAAGCCAAUCCCGUAAAAUCGGUCUCAGUCCGGAUUGGAGUCUGCAACUCGACUCCAUGAAGUUGGAAUCGCUAGUAAUCGUGGAUCAGCAUGCCACGGUGAAUACGUUCCCGGGCCUU
rnacentral:rRNA from 1 species